CCUAGGUGGGGGAGGGGCCCAGCGGAGGCCUCACGGCGCCGCUCCAGGGCCUCCCAGGCCUCCCCAGCGCCAGCUUUCGGUGAGCCUCGGGCAUUCCUAGCUGGAGAGUUUGGCUGGGGGUCGCUACAGACUCUUCAGAGCGGCUGCAGCAGGACCUCAGGGUGAUCGCGGGACCGCGGGGCGGGGCGAGUGGUGGGAUCCUGGCCCGGACAGAGCCCCGGAAAGCCAGAGGGAAGGUCGGUGCCACUGUAGGUGGGGUCGCCGUCCCCAGAUGCAGCCGCUGCACUGUCGCCGCCAGGUUUCUCGGUCAAAUAACCCAGGCCUGAGUGUUUCAAACUCUUCAGGCCUCGGACCCCUGGACCAGCUAUGGAUGGACUAAUGAAAUGGACUAAUGUCUAAAACGCACACAUUUAGAUGUACACAUACUCUUACAAGGACAAAAGUAUGUGUCUACACACACACACACACACACACACACACACACGCGCGCGCGCGCGCGCGCGACUUUGCGAAUGUAUUCACGGAUUCCUAGGCCGGUACCUGGGUUCCCGGCUAAGGAAAGCUGCCCUGGUUAUUAUCUGGUCACCUCACCGGCUGCGCAAACGUGUCCACAACGGGUCCCUCCCCGAGAGGCCACAUCUCGCCUAAGGUGGAGCCAGCAGGUAUUUGCCUGUGGAAAACUGCAGUGGAUCCUGCCCCGUCUGCGUAGACUGCGCAGCUCGGAGUCAAAGAUUCGUUCUGGCCAGAGAGGAGGUACUAAGAGAGGUGCGACCUAGCCAAGAACGAGGUCGUGGAGAAAACCCUGUGGGGGCGGCGCUCACAUAUGCGGUGAUGAGGAGUUGUGAGGGCCCUGGGGUCGGCCCCGAAAAGUAGGGAUAACGGUCGCAGAGGCCAUACUGCUUCCGCCGGUCCCGAAUCCGCACUGCCAGGAGAGAUCCGGCCUUCAAACGCUGCUCCCAACGUUCAACAACGAAGUGCCCUGCGACCGAAAACGACCUUCAGGAAUCAGCCUGAGUGUUCGCGCCCGAGCCCGAUUGGAAGCAGGUGCGUGGUCGCUUCACUCUCCCCGUGCACACCUUGAGUUAUAGCUCUCGCUGCGCACAGAGGGCACCACACGGGGCCCGACACACACACACACACACACACACACACACACACACACACACACACCAUCACUUCAUGGGGGGGAAACUGAGGCUGCCGGAAGACAGAAAACGAAGACUGAUCACAGAAGAGGGGGCUUCAAUCACAGGUGCUCGCAGACACCCCAACUCCCUCACGCGUUACUCAGCACUCCUUAACUUAGGAGACGUGCGCUUCCGAGAGAUGAGAAGAAACUAAAAAAGUGGUUGGCAGGGCGAAGAGAGGAAGCCGGUAUUUCGGAAGAAGGAGACUUUCGUCUCCGGUACCGGAUAGGGCGAAAAUUCGUUGGGUCGCGGGUGGAGAAUCCGGGGUCCGCCCGCGCGGUGCCGCCCUGUGCUCAGCGAAAGGUGCGCUCACCUUCCUGGCCCCGAGGAUCCGCUCCUCCCGGCCGCUGGAAAGCUCAGGGCGGGGCCCGGGCCUGCGGAGAACUCCAGGUUCCU
rnacentral:lncRNA from 1 species